UUUUCACUACUGCUCCUGCUCUGGCAAUACCAAAAGCUAUUGCACAUGCUGGUUUGGAAUCUUCUCAAGUCGAUUACUAUGAGAUCAAUGAAGCAUUUGCAGUUGUAGCACUCGCAAAUCAGAAGCUACUUGGGAUUACACCGGAGAAGGUGAAUGUAAAUGGAGGAGCUGUCUCUUUAGGACAUCCUCUAGGCUGUAGUGGAGCUCGUAUUCUAAUCACAUUGCUUGGGAUACUAAAGAAUAGAAACGGCAAGUAUGGUGUGGGAGGAGUGUGUAACGGUGGAGGAGGUGCUUCUGCUAUUGUUCUUGAACUUGUUUGAUUCAUUAUAAUGAAUCCAGGUUGGUGAACUAAACAGACGUAUGUAUCUUUCUUCCAACUUCCAAGAGUCAGUAAUCCCACUUCAAGGUUGAUAUUAGUUGGUCUCUCAAUAAACGAGUGAUCUUUGAUGUUUCUAAGUCUGUUUAAUUAUUUGAACUCGAUCGGUGUCUGGUUCGUACUUCUAGUUUUGAAGUAUGUCUCGUUCAAGAUUUUACCAAUGAGCUCCACUCUUUAAAUUUCAAGAACGUGAUCCAUCUCCC